rnacentral:rRNA from 1 species
AUCUGGCCUCAAAUCAGGUAGGACUACCCGCUGAACUUAAGCAUAUCAAUAAGCGGAGGAAAAGAAACUAACAAGGAUUCCCCUAGUAACGGCGAGUGAAGCGGGAAGAGCUCAAAUUUGAAAUCUGGUAGCCUUCGGUUGCCCGAGUUGUAAUCUAGAGAAGUGUUUUCCGUGCCGGCCCAUGUACAAGUCCCUUGGAACAGGGCGUCAUAGAGGGUGAGAAUCCCGUCCUUGACAUGGACCCCCGGUGCUUUGUGAUACACUUUCAACGAGUCGAGUUGUUUGGGAAUGCAGCUCAAAAUGGGUGGUGAAUUCCAUCUAAAGCUAAAUAUUGGCGAGAGACCGAUAGCGAACAAGUACCGUGAGGGAAAGAUGAAAAGCACUUUGGAAAGAGAGUUAAACAGUACGUGAAAUUGUUGAAAGGGAAACGAUUGAAGUCAGUCAUGCUCUUGGGACUUACCUCCCUUGAGUGGGGUCAACAUCAGUUUUGAUCGAUGGAUAAAGGCACGGGGAAGGUAGCACUCUCGGGUGAACUUAUAGCCUCGCGUCAUAUACAUUGAUUGGGACUGAGGAACGCAGCAUGCCUUAUGGCCGGGAUUCGUCCACGUACAU